rnacentral:rRNA from 1 species
AUACGUAGGGUGUGAGCGUUGUCCGGAAUUACUGGGCGUAAAGCGCUCGUAGGUGGUUUGUCGCGUCGUCUGUGAAAUUCCGGGGCUUGACUCCGGGCGUGCAGGCGAUACGGGCAUAACUUGAGUCCUGUAGGGGAGACUGGAAUUCCUGGAGUAGCGGGGAAAUGCGCAGAUAUCAGGGGGAACACCGGGGCGAAGGCGGGUCGCUGGGCAGUAACUGACGCUGAGGAGCGAAAGCAUGGGUAGCGAACGGGAUUAGAUACCCUGGUAGUCCAUGCCGUAAACGGUGGGCGCUAGGUGUAGGGGUCUUCCACGACUUCUGUGCCGUAGCUAACGCAUUAAGCGCCCCGCCUGGGGAGUACGGCCGCAAGGCUAAAACUCAAAGGAAUUGGCGGGG